rnacentral:misc_RNA from 1 species
UACGGAGGGUGCAAGCGUUAAUCGGAUUUACUGGGCGUAAAGUGCGCGUAGGCGGAUCUGAAAGUCAGGUGUGAAAUUCCGUGGCUCAACCACGGAGCUGCACUUGAAACUUCAAGUCUCGAGGAUAGAGCGGGGGAAGCGGAAUUCCACGUGUAGCGGUGAAAUGCGUAGAUAUGUGGAGGAACACCGGUGGCGAAGGCGGCUUCCUAGCCUAUACCUGACGCUGAGGCGCGAAAGCGUGGGGAGCAAACAGG